rnacentral:lncRNA from 1 species
AUGAAUGCACACCCCCAAGCAACCCUCUUCCUCCUCCUCAUCCAGGAUUUGGCUUUCCAGCUGCAGCUUUGCAGCCCUCCAGGGCAAUUCCGGGGGACGCUGAGAGCAGACCCCAUGGCUGCUCAGUGGGUUGGCCUUCUAGAAGGGAGUCGCCGCCCCCCCCCACCUGCCCGGGGUCUGUCCCUCGAGCAGAGGAGUGUCUUGCCCAAGGUGGCCUCCCUUGGGUGGUGGCGGCUGCUUUGGGAAGAGGCAGGCGGGCGGGCGCGCAGGAGGCCUGUGUGUGUUUUAGCCUCUGAGAAUCAAUUAGCCCUGCCUCAGAGGGUGAUUUAUGGCAUGCCUUCCAGGGACUCUGCUUUGAUUCGCCUUAUUAGGGCCGCAGCAGCCUUUGGCAAAAGGCAAGGAGGAUUAAGGGUGGGUGGAAAACAGCUGGCGCACGCAGAGGAGCGAGAGCGAGCCGAGAGCAAAAGCAGGCAGGCCUGCCCUCACCUCCUCACCUUUCCCGGAGUGGGAAAGAAAGGCGUACAUAAGCCCCCCCCCGUCACCAUCAAGUCAAGGUCCAUAAAGCCUUCUCAUCCAUGCCCGUCGUUUGGGCAAAAGGCACUUAAGGCAGGAUCCGUGCGGCUUCCAAGGGGGCUUCACGCCUGCCACCCCUUUCCGGUCCUCCCCGCUGCGUUUCCCUGCUUGGCAAAGGGAGCACGGCUGACGGUCUUUCCAGAAAGGCACACCGAAAAAAGGGUGACGCUGGGAAAGCAGCCGAAGCAGAGAGACCCCGCGGCAGGUCCCGAUCCAGGUGCAAAGAGCAGGCCUCGGCCUUCCUCCUCUUCCAGCGAGGACGGCCCGGCAGACGCUGCUCCUCCCCUGAGAUUUUGGGGCCCAAAGCUUUCGCCUCCGCAGGCUGGGAAGGGGCAAAAGACCAUCGGGCCCGAGACCGACGGUGUGGCUUUCCUGAGCUCCCUCCAAAAACAAGGAGGAUGCCUGCGGGCAUCUGCUGAAAGAGGGCGGGUGGGCACCAACGAUGACGACUCCGGGGGCCGGGAGGGGGACGACCCCCACUUUGGAAAUCAAGUCAGCUCAAGCUUUUCCCAGGACUGCUCCCCCCCUGGAGACCUGGGGGGACAGGGCAGCACCUCGGAGGCUCCAGCCGGUGCCACGGGAGCGGACGGCAACGCUCCCCCCGCUCCCCCCACCCCACCAGAGAGUUUGUCCUCCAUUGUGCAACGACAGCCACGAUGA